CCCAGGAGCCACAAGUGGGAGCCACUUUUAUUGGGCCUAAAGCGUUCGUAGCCGGUCUUGUAAAUUUCCUGUGAAAUCGUUAGGCUCAACCUAACGACGUGCAGGGAAGACUGCAAGACUAGGGACUGGGAGGCGUCAGAGGUAUUCCUGAGGGAGCGGUAAAAUGUUAUAAUCUUAGGAGGACCCCCAGUGGCGAAGGCGUCUGACGAGAACGGAUCCGACGGUGAGGAACGAAAGCUAGGGGAGCAAACCGG
rnacentral:rRNA from 1 species